UGAUUAUGCUCGCGCCGGGAGGAGGUCC
rnacentral:sRNA from 1 species